rnacentral:rRNA from 1 species
AGAAUCAACGCUGGCGGCGUGCCUAACACAUGCAAGUCGAACGAGAAAGUGGAGCAAUCCAUGAGUAAAGUGGCGACCGGGUGAGUAACACGUGACUAACCUACCUUCGAGUGGGGGAUAACCUCGGGAAACCGAGGCUAAUACCGCAUAACAUCGUGAGAUCAAAGCAGUAAUGCGCUGGAAGAGGGGUCGCGGCUGAUUAGCUAGUUGGCGGGUAAUGGCCCACAAGGCGAAGAUCGGUA